CGGCCGGAACAGAUCUUGGGAAGUAGGAUGAGCGGAGCUGUCAAUAUGCAAUUCAAACAGUUACUUUUUUACAGCUUUAAUUAGAGAAUUCAGUGCGAGUGGAAAGCUCAAGUAGUAGAAAAGCAGUUCUGCUUUUAGAUACACUAUCUAAAAGCAACAAUUUCAACUAUGAAAUUGUUCCUCUCUCUGUUCUUCUCCAGAAAAAAAAAAAUGCAAGACCUCUCUGAUGGAAGUCUUGGUAGCGUGAAGGACAAAUUGCCUGUUUCACUGGAAUUAACUCCAAGCUGAUUCCACGCUGCAAAUGGACAGUUUGUCAAAGAUGAGGCUAGACGGAGCAGUCUCUUGCUAUCUCAGCUAUGGAAGGCCAGCAUUGUGCUAACUCGGAGAUUUCUGGGGUAAAACCUUUAACGGCAAGUCCUCUGUCCUGCAUUGCUUUGCUGAAAGUAUACCGAGAACUUUUGGUCACUAAAAUCCGAAACACGCAGUGUUUGAUUGACAACUUGAUCAAGAAUGACUACUUCUCCACUGAAGAUGCAGAGAUUGUUGCCCAGUUUCCAACUCAAGCAGAUAAGGUUCGCAAAAUUCUAGACUUGGUUCAAAGCAAGGGAGAAGAAGUUUCAGAAUAUUUCAUCCAUGUCCUGCAGAAAGUCAUUGAUGCUUACUAUGAACUUCAGCCUUGGUUGGGUGAAAUAGGUUACCAGCCUUCAGAGAAUAUUCGUAGUAAAGCUGUGGAAAAUACAGAUCCAGUUAGCAGGUAUUGUCAGAAACUCAGAUAUGAACUGGGACGGGACUCAAAGUUUGUUAUGUCGUAUGCUCAGAAGGAAGAGAUGCUGCUUGACGAAAUCUACUCCAAUAAUAUUAUGGAGCUGGUCAGUUUUACCAAUGAGAGUCUAGGCAACGUGUCUCAAUUGGAGGCCCUUUUUGAUGAUACAGUUGGGCUAAUUAAUGAAGAUGGAGAAACUGUUUAUGUCUUCGGGGAUGCAGGAAUUGGAAAAUCCAUCUUGCUGCAAAAGAUACAAAGUCUUUGGGCCAGACAAAAGUUGGAUAUAGGGGCCAAAUUUUUUUUCCGUUUUCGAUGCAGGAUGUUUAGCUGCUUUAAAGAAAAUGAAGCCAUAUGUUUGAAAGACCUUUUGUUCAAAUAUAAUUGCUACCCAGACCAGGACCUCACAGAGGUGUUUCAUCACAUCUUGCAGUUUCCUCAUACAGUUCUUUUCACAUUUGACGGCUUUGAUGAGAUCUAUUCUAACUUUGAUCUCAGUAGCGUUCCCGAGAUGUGCUCGCCCAACGAACCGAUCCACCCCCUGGUGCUGCUGGUAAGCCUUCUCAGGGGAAAGCUUCUGAAGGGAUCCAGGAAAAUUCUUACAGCGAGAACAGGAACUGAGAUCCAAAGAAACAUCAUUAGAAAGAAAGUGUUGCUCCGUGGAUUCUCCAGCAGUAACCUGAAGGAAUACACUGCCAUGUUUUUCAAAGAUGAAGGGCAACGAACACUGGUGUUGAACCAGUUGGAAGCUAACCCCAAUCUCUGCAGUUUGUGUUCAGUGCCUUUAUUUUGCUGGAUUAUCUUUAAAUGCUAUGAACACUUCCAUUCCAUGUUUGACAGCCAUGAACUUCCAGACUGUUCAGUUACAUUGACAGAUGUAUUUUUGGUCCUGAUUGAAGUUCAUCUGAACCGAUCUCUGAAAACAAGUUUGCUGAAGAACAACACCAGGAGCCAAGCAGAGACGUUCAAAUCAAGAAAGGAAACUCUUCUAGCUUUGGGUAAAAUGGCAUACAAAGGGAUAGAGAACUCUUUGUUUAUCUUUGAGCAGGAGGAGGUCUCAUCAGUGAACAUCUCUGAAGAGGAUUUGCAGUUGGGCUUUCUCAGGACAGUUCAAGGUUAUAGCGGCUGUGAAGAUCAGUCCACUUACGAGUACUUGCACUUAACCCUUCAGUCUUUUUUCACAGCUUUGUUCCUAGUUAUUGAAGAGAAAGUGGGUACCAAGCAGUUACUUGAGUUUUUCAAUGAGUGCUCUUCCACUGAGACUUCACAGUCUACUUGCCUUCAUAUUCCUUGGUUCAGAAGACAACUGACAGGGGAGGAUCCUUUCCGAAAUAAUGAACAUUUUCAUUUUACCAACCUUUUUCUUUGUGGCCUGCUUUCUAGAUCCAAGCAAAAGCUCCUCAGACAUUUAGUUCUGCCUGCAGUCAUUAAGAGGAAGAGAAAGACACUCAUCACAUACCUUGGGGAGAGCAUGAAAUCCCACCUGAAAGGUCUCUCUCGGUCCAGGCUUCCACAGUACAAUCAGAUUCAGGCCCAGCCCAACUUCAUCUGGAUGCUGAGGUGCCUUUACGAGACGCAAAGCGAGAAAGUGGGGAAGUUGGCUGCCAAACACAUGCAUGCCAAUUACCUCAAACUCACAUACUGCAAUGCCUGCUCCGCUGACUGCAGUGCUAUUUCUUUUGUUAUGCAUCACUUUCAAAAGCGCCUGGCUCUGGAUUUGGACAACAACAACAUCAAUGACUAUGGAGUAAAACAGCUGCUACCUUGUUUCAGCAAACUCGCAGUGAUCAGGCUCAGUGUAAAUCAAAUCACAGAUCAUGGAGUAAAGAUCCUGUAUGAAGAGCUCUCCAAAUACCAAAUUGUGACCUACUUGGGCUUAUACAACAAUCAGAUCACUGAUGUUGGAGCCAAAUACGUUGCAAAGCUAAUUGAAGAAUGUUCAAGCCUUGAAUAUGUUAAAAUAGGAGCAAACAAAAUAACCAGCGAAGGAGGGAAGUGCCUUGCCCAGGCCAUCCAGAAGAGCAAGACAAUGUUUGAAAUUGGGUUGUGGGGUAAUCAAGUUGGAGACGAAGGAGCAAAGGCGUUUGCAGAGGCCCUGAGGAACCACCCCACGUUAACAAACGUGAGUCUCGCAUUCAACGGCAUCACAACAGAGGGCGGCAAAAGUAUUGCUGAAGCUAUGCAGCACAACAACUCUGUGAAAAUAUUCUGGUAAUCGGUAUUGCGCCCUCCUUCUCCUCUUCCUCCUCUAAAGCAUCAGCCUAAUUUUACUUCCUCUAAACCCAUGUCAUCCUCCUCUCCCCUCCUCCUUCUCUCCUUCCAUCCAUCCCCUAUUCUUUCACUACCAGCAAGGUGCAAGAUGCAUCGCUUUGGGAAGAAUGUGGACGCGACUGAUAGAGCAGCUACGUAUGUCCUUUAGGACAUAUCCCCAUCUCCUAUCCGAAAAGAAGACUGUAACAUGAAAGCUGGAAGCUUUAACCAUCAUAACUAAUGCAGCGGCACAGAUUUCAGUGUAAACCAGCACUCUGCACCUUCCUGGAGUCCUCAGAGACUCUGUACAGCAAAGCGUGUGCCACCCCUUCCAUAUUCACUUGGCAGUCAGUCACUGUGCUAUAACCACGUCUUCAUUUUGCUGGGGAGAUCGAGAAGUACCUGAUUCUGAACAGAAACAGGCAAAGUACUUGCUGGAAAGAUUUCCGCUUUGACUGUAUCAGGAAGAAAGAGGGUGAAAUUAGAAAAGGCAGUAACCAGGGGGUCGCCAGAGGGAAGAGGAGGAGAAGGUGCUGUUAAUUAUUUCUCUCAUGGGUCAGGAGUUGGGCAAACUUGGAACAGCCCCACAUGCUGGAAAUGCAAGGGUACCAGGGUGCUGCAUCUCUGUCAAGGGAGGAGCAGGAGGUUGACUAAAAAUGACUUGGAUGAUGAGGCAGCAAUGAGUUUUGGAGAGAUGCUGAAGGU